UUAGUUCGUGACACCACUCUUCAUGGGAGAAGAGCGCAGAAGAGAGGCUGGGCCAUUUCUACACACUGAAAACCCCCUGUGGGGAGCUCAUGAAGGACCAAUGGUUCCUCAGAUCUGCAAAUGUGAAUCUCUUUAAAGCAAUAAAAAGCGAGGCUUGAUCUGGCAUUUGAUGGAGAAACAGAGGGCAGCUCAGAAUAUCCUUUCCCCAUUAUGUUCAGAAUGUGAGGAAAUGAACACAAAGGAAAGUAUGGUAACAAAAUCAAUAGCAUCAAUCAACAAAGCAGAGGCUCAUGACCAAAGCUCAAGCAUAGAAAGUGUUGGAGACUGAUGCUGGGGAGAACAGAUUGAAUUAUGGACAAUGGGGCUGACACAUUCAGAAAAGGAUCCCAAGAAAAACCAUCCGAAGUCCUUUGGGUUCUGUAAGUGGAAUGGGAUGUACAUCCAUGGUUGAGAAUGAUAACCCUGAUAAAGGGCUUAUUAAAAUGCACCUCUUUAUUAUGAAAAUGCUCACGCAUAUUCUAAAAAGGAAAGAAAUGGCCAAUGCACCAAGCACUCAUUACCCGAACUUCAUGCUCCUUUGCCAAGCCCUUCUGUUAUGCUGCUCCCGGCUCUGCCUCGCCUCUCUAUUUGGAGCUUGGGAAGGUGUUUCCCAAAUCACUCACUUUCUGUAGCCCAGGGCAGGCCUAUUACAGAGCAAGUAUUCAACGGUGUUUGCUAAAUGAGUCAAUGAAUCAAUGAAUGAAUCAAUCUCCAUUUAGCCAGUUAUUCCACUUUCCAGAAAAUGAAUCUGCCUUUAGUAAAAGAUGGAUACUGUACAUGAUGAAUAUGAUCCUAGGAAAAUUAUGCAAGGAACAACAACACAUAGAAACACCUUCAGGACAUGCUUUCCAAAGAUAAUUCAGACUAACAUCGUGGAUUCUUCUUAAAUGAGUAAGAGAAGCCUGCUGGUGGAGGCUUCCCAGGAGUACCGGGGCUGAGAACAGCCGGCAGCCCGCUGGGGACUGGACACAGGUCCACAUCACAGCUGAUGCUGAGAUAUCAGCCUGAAGACAAAGCACUUUGUACAAAUGUGAGGUCCAUGCUGAUGCAAGUUUGCCUGCUCUGGUGGUGAAUUUCAUGUGUGAAAAUCUAGUGCAAAUAAGAAGUGCACACACAUAUGCUUUUGUGUAGACAUAAAAAAACAAACAUGAACACACACAAUUACUUUAUUUUUGCCAUUUAUUUCCCACGUGCCUCAGAGGCUGCCUUUAUUUAUCUGGGAUUAAUAUGAAUCUUUUCCUAAUAUAGUUGUGUGAAAAUGUGAAUACAUGAUAUUAGAAUUUCUAAUGUCAAUUAAAAUGUAAUUUAGUAAAUCGUCAAGAUAUUUUAGUUUACACUACACUAGAUAGCUAAGUAUUUUGAACUAUGUUAAAAAUUAUUGCCAUUAUUAAAAAGUACCCUUAUUGAGAAUAUGUUUCCUUUAAGUAAUCUAUAAUUUCUUCUGAGACAAAUACUAAUAUUUGGAAGCAAGUGGAAUUAGAAUGAAAUCAAAGUACUCAGAAGAAACUCUAUUUGUGGGAAAAUUAAUGGCAUAAAAGCAUGGGGCAUCUGUAAAAGAGGAAUUUUUAAAGAGCUAAUAUAGAAAUGUGACAUUUAUAC